UGGGGAAUUUUGGACAAUGGGCGAAAGCCUGAUCCAGCCAUGCCGCGUGCAGGAUGAAGGCCUUCGGGUUGUAAACUGCUUUUGUACGGAACGAAACGGUCUUUUCUAAUAAAGAAGGCUAAUGACGGUACCGUAAGAAUAAGCACCGGCUAACUACGUGCCAGCAGCCGCGGUAAUACGUAGGGUGCAAGCGUUAAUCGGAAUUACUGGGCGUAAAGCGUGCGCAGGCGGUGAUGUAAGACAGUUGUGAAAUCCCCGGGCUCAACCUGGGAACUGCAUCUGUGACUGCAUCGCUGGAGUACGGCAGAGGGGGAUGGAAUUCCGCGUGUAGCAGUGAAAUGCGUAGAUAUGCGGAGGAACACCGAUGGCGAAGGCAAUCCCCUGGGCCUGUACUGACGCUCAUGCACGAAAGCGUGGGGAGCAAACAGGAUUAGAUACCCUGGUAGUCCACGCCCUAAACGAUGUCAACUGGUUGUUGGGUCUUCACUGACUCAGUAACGAAGCUAACGCGUGAAGUUGACCGCCUGGGGAGUACGGCCGCAAGGUUG
rnacentral:rRNA from 1 species